UACGUAGGGGGCAAGCGUUGUCCGGAUUUAUUGGGCGUAAAGAGCGUGUAGGCGGCCAGAUAGGUCCGUUGUGAAAACUCGAGGCUCAACCUCGAGACGCCGAUGGAAACCAUUUGGCUAGAGUCCGGAAGAGGAGAGUGGAAUUCCUGGUGUAGCGGUGAAAUGCGCAGAUAUCAGGAGGAACACCGGUGGCGAAGGCGGUUCUCUGGGAAUGUCCUGACGCUGAGGAGCGAAAGUGUGGGGAGCGAACAGG
rnacentral:rRNA from 1 species